rnacentral:lncRNA from 1 species
UUUUUUUUUCUAAAGUCCAAUUUUCGGAUUGGCACCGAACACUUGAUCUAGUUCGGACAUUAACCUUUUGAAUAAGUUUUUUAGCUUUUCGAGCCCAUGGCACUUUUAAACUAUUUGUGUGUUUUCAGCAUAAGUCUCGCAGAGCAACGCUGGACACCUUUAGAGAUUCGGGAAAAACAUUCUCGGAUAUUGCUAUAUAUGCAUCGGUUUUGAAUUGUGUCUUCGGUCAAUAGUUGGGUCUCCCGGCUCCUGCGCUUGCCUCCUAUGUUCCGCUUUGUUCGGCUAGGUGUGCAAAGGGAGAACCACUGUGAUUGUGCUUCCAGCUCACAUGGUUAAGCACCUCAGUGGAGAAAGCCGAAAACUGACUGUCACAAUAAGCGUAAACUGGUCGGUGAUCCGAUGACGGCGUUAAACGACGGGCCAUUCAUAACAAUGGCCGAAGUGUUUACGGCUUGACCUCGACUGUCGCCGAACACUACCGGGGGCUAUUAACUGGCCUCCCAAACUAAAUCCUCGAUAUUUUGCUCUUACAUUGGAGCUGAGGUUUCAUGAUCAUGCUUAGCAUGACAACCCAAAGAAAGGAACCGAUAGGGGGACUAUUUUCUUUGGAAGACAUUUCUUUUGUUAAACGGUAAUAUAACAUAUCUCUCCGCGUACCUUUGUUUAUAAAACCGUAUGGCCAGAUUGCCUUGUUUGUUGUCAAUCUUUGCCCUCAUAAAGGCUUUAUAAAGUAGGACAAACACUCCUCGGCUAUUGGAUGAGGAGGUGGAAGCUGAUGGUCGGUCAACAAAGUUUUGUACAAUACGGUUCCGAGCAUUAAUGACGUAAAGUACUUGGAUACAUAGAGUCAUUACACAUAAUUUGUGAUUUUACUAUGGAUAUCGAUCCUUAAUUCGGCCUUCCGUGCCCGCAUUAAGGCUCGGGGGCUACUGGGCUUCGGGCUUAUUAUUUAAAAAUAUUAAAGGGGCACAUCAAUCCCCUGAUCUAGUGUUGCCACCCGACCAGUGUCUCGGGGGCUACUGCAUUGCCUGUUCUAUGCAGAAAAUUUUAAGUGCAAUACAGUUUCCGAGGAGAUUUUGAUCCUCAGGUUGGUCGGCCACACCCAACCCGAGUCUUGAGAACUAAGCACGCCGCUUUUUGUGUCCCGAAGUAUUCUGCCGAGCUAGGACUUGAUCCUUAGACCGAUUUUGCAAAUCAACUUGAGUCUCAGCAGCUACGGGGAUCAGCGGUCUUAUGUCAUCCUUCAUGGGCAUCUCGGGUUUUAGACCGAUACCCACCUUGAGGGCUACUGGCUAUGUAUCUCGGCAGAGAAUAAAUUGCACCAAUCAAAAAUAUUGACAAAAAUCGGCCCACAUUCGGGGAGGUGCACCACCUCGGAAGCAGUCCGGCAUAAAGCUCGGGCGCUAGUGGCUGGCUCCAUAGAGGGCACUUCCGGCGUUAAGCUCGGCUAAACUCCUUCAAACUUCUUUGAACCAAGGUGAUUUACGACACCUCGGAUACAGUUCGGUGUUGGAGCUCAGAUACAUAGUCCAGCGUUGGAGCUCGGAUACCGUCCGACGUUGGAGCUCGGAUACAUAGUCCGGCGUUAGAGCUGGGAAGCAGUCCGGCAUUGGUGCUCGGCUGCAAAAGAUACCUCAAAUGCAGUCCGGCGUUGGAGCUCGGACGCAAGAGGACGUUGCCACCCGGGAACAGCUUCAAACCCGAGGCAUGGCAUAAAAAUAACAAGGCAUUGAUAAAGGCCAUAAACUUAAAGGGGCUCCUCGGAUACCCAACGCGUAAACUCGUCGAAUGCAUCUCGGCGAUCCUCAAGAUAGAAGAUGAGAAGAUUUGUUGAACCAGUUUUCAAGACCGGCAACCGAAGAUGAAGAACAGUUCGGAAGAAUCGAGGAGCAUCCCUAACUUGAAAACCGGUUCAGGGGGCUACUGACGGUGUCCUGGACUAGGGGGUACUCAACGCUUUGUCUCCCAAUCAGUUGGAUUGGGCCGAGGACCCCCAUGGCCGUAUACUCAUGGGCCAGUCCGGACAGCUGCCGCAUACAAGGAAGAAUCAACAAGACUUGGCGAUCAAGACAAGGACUCCUCCCCCACCGGCGUAUUCGGCUAGGACUCUUGUUAUCCUAGGCCUCUGGUGCAUUAUAUAAACCGGGGCCAGGCUAGUCGAUAUUGAUAUACAACAACAAUCAUACCAUAGGCUAGCUUCUAGGGUUUAGCCUCCUUGAUCUCGUGGUAGGUCUACUGUUGUAAUACCCACAUCAUCAAUAUCAAUCAAGCAGGACGUAGGGUUUUACCUCCAUCAAGAGGGCCCGAACCUGGGUAAAACAUCGUGUCCCUUGCCUCCUGUUACCAUUGAUCCUAAGACGCACUGCUUGGGAUCCCCUACCCGAGAUCCGCCGGUUUUGACACCGACAGUCAUGAUGACAAUGUUGAAGAUGAUGAAGUUCUUCCUCAGAUCAAAUAUAAUGUGGUAUCAUCGCCUGUUCGUAUGAACAACGAAAACAUCAGCAUUGGUCGUCCUCUGACGCCAAUUGCUCAGGACGCAUCAUGGGCUGAUCACCCACAGCAAUAAGACUCCCCCAGUACUUCCAAACAACAACAAACCACACCAUCCGUACAAGUUGAAGAGGAUGAGGACCUGCCCACUCCAUCUCCAAAGGCGUCGCCUGUACUCCAAAGGCUUCGCAAAGGACCAAGGCCUCAAGUCCCUCUUUCGAGCGUUCCAGAAGGAGAAGUGCACCGUCAACCUGUUGCACGUCAAGUGUUCUCUGAAGCCACUCCAACUGUGAAUGUCUCUGUGUCUGAAGCACAAGCUGCUGAAGACAAUCCGGCUGCAUCAGCCGAUGAAGAAACAGUUCAUGAAGUGAACGUGUCUGUGCCUGACCCUCCAGCUCCUCAAGUGGAGGUUGAAAAUCCUGAAGCUGCCACAACCAACGCAAGUGAAGCCAAUGACGAUGUCAUGGCUGAAGCUAAUGUGGAGCUUGAACCAAUCAGUGUGCCUGAAGCAAAUGAGGCCACUGCACCUGAAGCUAAUGAGGCAACUGCUCCUGAAGCACCUGUUGUGCAGCCUGGAGCCUCAGUUGCUGCCAGUGCUCCUGUUCCGCCACCACGACCCUAUACAAUCGAGCAAGCAUACAACCAUGGCGAGUUAAUCACAGUAAGAUGGCCCGUUCUGGUCCCUCCGCCUAAUGUCUCUAGUCCUCAAUUUGACUAUCACGUUGAGCAUAGGCCUCAGGUCCAGAAGCCCAAGCCAUGACUGCCAAGGUUUCCUGGUACUGCCACCUCUGUCGGGUCUUUCAAUGCAAAUGGCUUCAAGAGCCACAACACAUUCUUUGACAGCUCGAAGAACCCCUACACGAAGCCAAGAAUAUCAUCAGAUCAGUUCUGGAGUCAUCAGCAGCGAAGCUAUUACUCCUGUGUUCUGUAUGAUCAAGGGCGCAUUUUCCCUCAUAUGCGUCUCGACACUAAAGCCAUUACUGGACCGCCCUGCUUAGAAGAAGCACUUGACUGCUUUCGUGAUGCUGGGCUGCUCAGUUUUGUCACAGAUAAAGAACACUGGAAUGAAGAGCUAUUGCUUCAAUUCUAUGCUACUCUACACAUUCGCGGCUACAACAGAGAUAUCAAGACAUGGGUUCUCGAGUGGAUGACAGAAAAUGUUCAUCAUGAAGCCAAAGCUCUCGAAAUCAUUAAGCUUACAUGCCUAUCCACUCCUGGAGAACUCUAUGAACCUGGUUGUCAAAAUCGCCGCAAUGCUCUGGAAAGCAUCUUUCAUAAGCCUGAACCCAAUAUGAGUCAGAUGUUGAGCAUGAUGAAGCCUUUGCCACCUGAUGUUGAAUAUCCAACAAAGUUCUUUGUUGAAGACCUUGAGUAUCUGCCACACACCAUAUAUCACAUCAUCAGGCGAACUCUAUGGCCUAUCAAAGGACAUUCAUCAGCGGCAAAGCUUGAAGGAGCUAUGAAGACUUUGGUCUUCUACAUUCUCAAUGGCAUCAGCUUCAAUGCGCAAGAUUUCUUCAUCAGGCAACUGGCUGCAUCUGGAUCUGAUCUGUUUGGUCUGAAGUUUUAUGCUCCAUGGGUCAUGCGCCUCAUCAAGUGACACUCAUCUGUCAACUAUCAACCUUCUGCUCGCAAUCAUGUGAUUUUUCUACCUGAGGUUGAUAUGUCAGUUGAAGCUAUAUACCCUGAACCUACCAAGAAGCCUCUUUGUCUUCAGAAUGUCGAGCACCAAAGCUUCACUCAGCCUAUUGAAGGAGUUGAAGCAGCGACAUGAAUCUAUCCUUUGGCUAGAAACACUCAUCUGCCUCAUCGAGCACCCACUAAAGCCACUGAAAGCACCAUUGCACAAAGGCCUCGGAAGCGUUCUCGCGUUCUUAAUGACCGAGAACUUCUUGUGGCUCUUCAUCAGAAACAGGAUAAGAAUCAUUUCUGGCUCAAGAGACAGAUGCAAAGCCUCUUGGUGGAUGUCAAUCGCAUUCGCAACCUUGCCACCAAGAAUGCCUUUGUUGCUCAUGAAACUUGCCGGCGAUCAUGGAAGAGUUUAACCCUGCUCAGUGCUGAAGCCGAUCUUCAAGACGAUGGCUUCAAUGAAAGAUUCCAGUUUGACUCCACUCCUCCACGGACUGCUGUCCUACGUCGUACUCCAUCUCUGGAAGACUCUGAAUAUUCUUCCUCCGCGGCAACGGUAAAUGCCAGAGUGAUCGAUGAUGAAGAUGAUGCUACUUCACCACCUCCUACAACUGCGCACAUCGACACUGCACCAAGUUCAUCUGCACCACCACCCAACGAUGACAACCCUGCUGCUUCACCUACUCAUGUUGACGAGUAGAUGCUCUAUGUCUUCAAACCUUUUUGGUCCUUACUGACAAAAGGGGGAGAAGCGUAUGAGUUGAUAGUCUUCAAGCGGGUUCAUAUGGGCGGUUGCAUUAUAUUUUGCUGCGUGCUUACAACUCUUGCCUUUUGAAACAUUUGGUUCUCUGAGUUGUAACACCUAAACUUGAUGGUCGUCUGCUACUUAUUUGCUUCACUGUGAUGCGAUGAUAAAUUCCGCAUGCGCGAUGAUAACUUCCGCACUUAGAUCAUUCUGCAGACGUCCAUUUUUCAUUAUGCAUGUCAUUCUACUUGCUAUAUCAGUUCAUGCAUGAUAAAUUAUCUUCAUAAGUUGAAGUGGAUCUCCACAAGUACAACCUGCCAUGUGCAUUUGCAUUCCAAAAGCAAAUUACUUACAUGCACAUCUUCAGGGGGAGCCCUUGCAACUUAUGAAGACUAUUUCCUAUCCUUACAAUUUCACAUAUUUAUCCCCGUUGAAAACUUCAACCAGUUUGUCAUCAAUCACCAAAAAGGGGGAGAUUGUAAGUGCAUCUAGUGCCACCCCUAGUUGGUUUUGGAGUAUUGACGACAAACUUGGUUGAGGGACUAAUGCGUUUGUGAGAAUUGCAGGAUAACGCAGGUAGUGUCCCUCAUUGAUUCGGUUUACCUACCGGAGAUGACCCCUAAAAAUGUAUGAAGACAUUGAAGACAAUGGUGGUAUGAGAAGAUAUUCAUAUUGAAGACUAUGACAUGAGAAUACAUUGCGUGAAGACUAUGGAGCGCGAAGACUGUGUGGAUUCGUUGCUUCCUUUUCUUCUUUGUUGAGUCAUAGGAACCACCGUACUGUUAAGUGGGGUCCAAGUGAACUAAGUCAGAGUGACUGAAGUGAUGCUCAACUCAAAUCCUAUGUCUUCGAGCGAAGACAAUGAGAGCAAACCUUAUCCACAGCUGGAUGAGUCAGCUUUGCUUGUAGCCCAAGUAAAGUUGACGCGUGUGUUUGAAAUCUGACCGUUGGAACACGUGUCAGUUCCUUAGUGACCCAGGGUCAUUUUGGACAAAUCAGGUCAGGUUGCCUAGUGGCUAUAAAUAGCCCACCCCCUAUACCAUAAAUUGGUGGCUGCUCAGAGUUAGUAUACGGCUUUUGUCGUUUGAAGAGCAACCCACCUCGAAGCAUUUGAGAGAGAGAAAUCCUUGCGAGGACAAAGCCCAAACACCCAGAGCCAAAGAGUGUUAGGCAUCACUGAAGUCUUUCUGUCUGUGUGACCUGAAGACUUAUUACACUUGAGGACUGUGUAUCCUCCAGCCGGUUAGGCGUCGCGUUCUGAGCAUCCAAGAGUCAUUGUGGAUUGCCGGGUGAACAAAGUCUGUGAAGGUUUGGAAGUCUACCUUGAAGACUUACCAGAGUGAUUGGGCGAGGACUAAGUGACCUUAGCUCAAGGGGAAUAAGGUGAAGACAUGGUCUUAUGAGUUGAAUCUCAGCCUCCCUAACCAGACAUACAGUUGUCACAGCAACUGGAACUGGUCCAACAAAUCCUGUGUCUUCAACAAGUGACUGGUUCUAUCUCUUCCCUCCUUUACCUUGAGUUUGUCUUCAUGAAGUCGUUGCUUAUCUGUCUUAUCUGAUUGACUUCAUUGCUUGACUACUAUUGUUGAUUGGCUUCAUACUAUCUUCCAUCCUGAUCCUACUACCUAGCUGCUAUUAGUCUUCGUACGUUAACGCUAUUGCAUACUUGACUAUGGCUUGCUUGUUGUAGUUUAUCUUCCGCUGCAUAUCAAUUAGGUUAUUUCUAUUGUUUGUCUUCGAAACUUCCACGUUUUGAAGACUUUGAUAAAAAUUGCCUAUUCACCCCCCUCUAGUCGAUAACUAGCACUUUCAAGUACCCUGGGCUGAACUUGGACCAGCUACGCACCUGGCGGCAGGAGGCUGACGAGGAGUUGGAGGCGGUGCGGCCGGCUAUCGUCCAGCGUGCCUCAUCAAUCGCCGACUUCAUCGACACCAGCGCCUUUGCUCCUAAGGUGAACGAGGACAGCGUCGCGCAGCUGGAGGAAUGGUUCGGGCUGAACCCGGCCGACGAUGAAGACUCGGCGGAGGAAAUUGACUCCAGCGAUGAGGGCGAAGAGGAGGAGGAAGACGGCGAAGACGCUGUGCCGGAUGUCGACACAGCCGGCCAGCCUCAGCCUGACCGUGCCUCCAGCAAUGAGGCACGUGCGAAUGCUCCGCCUGCCAUCGACGACGACCAGGCCGAGACUCGCCAGCCGGCCACUCCUCCAGCCGACACCGCCGUCUCCACCAAUCUUCCUGACGCUCCGGGCGCUCCCUUGGCUUGAUUCGCUGUUUUUACUUUCGUGUUUGUCACUCUUUGAACAGAUUUGUUAUCUUCGCGCAAUUCUACCCAUUGGGGGUGUAUUGAAACUUCGUUGAAUGCCGACCUCUCGAAGGCCUUUUAGUGUAAAUAUUAUUAUGCAUGCGUUUGGCUUCCAUUCCUACUUGCUUUUAAUCUCUCGGCUUUUUUCCUUUGCUGCCUUCCCUUGGUUGCCGCCUUCCCAGCCGGACAGCUGCUCUGCAGUGUGUGGCCGGGUAAGGAGUUCAGCCGUCUGGGAAGGCAAGUACUCAAGCUUUCUUAGAUUGUAGCAGGGUAGGAAGGAAAGCCGGCCGGCCUGCUGCUUCGACAGCCGGUUGGCGUGAGGGGAGCCGGCUUGUGUUAUGUAAGUUCGUUAGUCCUUAGCCAUUUUUCAUGUGGGCAUCCUUUUCGCCUUUGGCUCUUGCUAGUCGGGCAGCCGAUUCUUCGAGCUAUGACUUUCGCAAGAGAGGGCUUGGGUGCCGGCACAUUACUUGUCUGACUGCAGGUAGAACUUGUACAUAACUUAAGGCGGCAAGUCCCCGGGCCGACUAGUCAAACCCGAUGCUAGACGAAGAAAAUAAAUGUAGUGCCGUAACCAUGGGUAUGAUACCCGGCAUACAUAGAUAAAAUAUGGUAGUCCCCGAGAGCUCCUCGGGGAGCCUGUUGUCUCAUACUUAAUACAAAAGGUAGCGUGAUACAUACUGCAUUUCAACUGUAAAAUCUUGGGGGAAGAUUGGCAUUCCACGGAUGCUCCGACUCCUUGCCGGAGUUGUCUCUCUUGCGCGCCUUCGGCUUCUGCGUGUCUAUUAGGUAGUAGGAGUCGUUUCCCAAAGCCCGGCUGAUGACGAAGGGGCCUUCCCAAGGAGCCGAGAGCUUGUGCUGGCGGCUGUUCGCUGUAUCAGCCGGAGCACAAGGUCUCCCUCUUGGAAAGCUUUUGGCUUGACCCUCCGACUGUGGUAACGGCAGACCUUGCUGGUAGAUGGCAGACCGGCUGAGGGCUAACAGUCGGCUUUCUUCCAGCAAGUCGACGCUGUCUUCUCGUGCUUCCUUGGCCUCCGCCUCCGUGUUCAUGGUGACCCGAGGUGAGUCGAACUCGAUGUCAGUUGGGAUGACAGCCUCGGCACCAUAUACAAGGAAGAAGGGGGUGAAGCCGGUUGACUUGUUUGGGGUAGUGCGUAGACUCCAGAGGACGGCCGGCAGCUCGUCGAGCCAGCAGCCGGCUGAAUGCUCCAGUGGCACGACCAAUCAGGGCUUGAUGCCGGAGAGGAUGAGGCCGUUUGCUCGCUCGACCUGGCUGUUUGACUGUGGGUGGGCAACGGACGCUAAGUCCAGUCGGAUGCCCUGUGUCGCGCAAAAACGUGCCAGUGCUCCCUUGGCAAAAUUCGUGCCAUUGUCAGUGAUGAUGCUGUGUGGUACUCCAUACCGGGUUGUAAUGUCUGCGAUGAAUGUCACCGCAAUCGGCCCAUUCAGUUUCUUGAUUGGCUUUGCUUCAAUCCAUUUGGUAAAUUUGUCCACGGCGACAAGCAGAUGUGUCAUGCCGCCGCGCGCCGUCUUGAAUGGGUCGACCAUGUCCAGCCCCCAGACAGCAAAAGGCCAAGUGAUGGGGAUGGUCUUGAGUGCAGAAGCAGACAUGUGUUGCUUGGAGCCGAAGACUUGGCACCCUUUGCAGUGUUUGACUAGUUCCUUGGCAUCCUCCAAAGCAGUCGGCCAGAAAAAUCCAUGGCGGAAGGCCUUAGCGACGAGCGCCCUGGAGGCGGCGUGGUGGCCGCAUUCGCCUUGGUGGAUGUCUUCGAGGAUUGCUAUGCCUUUCUCUGGCUCGACGCAGCGCUGGAAGACUCCGGUAGCACUACGCCGAACUAGCUCUCGGUUCAUUAUUGUGUAAGCUCCAGCUCGGCGUUGGACUUGUCUUGCCGAGAUCUCGUCAGUCGCCAGCUCUCCGUUUAUCAGAAAACAGAGGAUGGGAUGAGCCCAUGAUGGAGCUGUGACUUCUUCAAUUGCCAAAACGGCUACUGCAACCAGGGUGGGCGGGCUGGGUUGUGAGGAGUUGGAGUGGGCCUCCGCCUGCUGUGUUGCUGCAGUCCCCGGGUCGGGUUCGACUAUGGCAGUCCCCGAGCCGGCUGCCGAAGUCCCCGGGCCGCCUGCUUGGUCCCCGAAGUCAGAUCCGACUGCGUCGGGGUCAGGCGUCACGAAGAUGGAACUGGAUUCCGGAGACGGCUUGACAGAUGGCUUGAGGAGGUGUUGGAGGGCGACGCCGGUUGGUAUAGCUUGCCGGGUGGAGCCUAUUCGUGCCAGGGCAUCUGCUUGUUCGUUAUCGGCCCGUGGCACAUGAAGGAACUCGCACCCCUCGAAGUAUCCGUUGAUCUGCUGAACGAGGAAACGGUAGCUUGCCAUGUUUGCAUCCUUGGCGUCCCAGUCGCCAGAUGACUGCUGAACCACCAAGUCCGAGUCGCCAUAACACAGGAUCCGGCGGAUGCCGAGUUCCUUGGCUAGCCGGAGCCCGUGUAUGAGCGCCUCGUACUUGGCCACAUUGUUGGAGGCGGCAAAGUGGAUUUGCAAUGUGUAUCUGAGUUUGUCGCCCUUGGGAGAGGUGAGGACGAUGCCGGCUCCCAAGCCGGUGCGCAUCUUGGAUCCGUCAAAAUGCAUCCUCCAAUGAGUGGAGUCGGGGGCUGGUGGCCGGUACUGGGUCUUGGCCCAGUCGACGAGGAAGUCGGCCAAUGCUUGGGACUUGAUGGCGGUGCGGGGCUGAUAGUAGAUUGUGUAAGGAGCCAGCGCAAUGGCCCAUUUCGCCACUCAGCCGGAUGCAUCCCGGCUGCCUAUGUUCUCGGCAAGCGGGGCAGUGCAUACGACCAUGAUGGGAUGUUCUUGAAAGUAGGGCUUGAGUUUCUUGGAGGCAAAGUACACACCAUAGCACAUUUUCUGGUAGUGCGGGUAGUUCUGCUUUGAGGUGGACAAUACUUUGCUCAAAUAAUAUACUGGCCUCUGGACUAGCUGAGCUCGGCCUUCUUCUGGACAUUGGACCACGAUGACUGUGCUGACCACCUGGCUGGUGGCGGCAAUGUAAAGGAACAUGGGCUCCUUCUCAGUUGGGGACGCCAAGACAGGCGGUGUGGACAUCAUCUUCUUCAGCUCGUAGAAAGCUUGGUCUGCCUGGUCAUUCCACUCAAAGUGAGUAGACUUCUUCAUGAGUCGGUAGAGGGGGAGUGCCUUUACUCCGAGCCGGCUCAUGAAGCGGUUCAAGGAUGCCAGGCAUCCGGUGAACUUUUGGACAUCUCGCAGCUUGGUAGGGGUCUUCAUUCUCUCUGUGGCCUUGAUCUUCACUGGGUUGCAUUUGAUGCCGCGUUCGGAGACCAGGAAGCCUAGAAGCUGGUCGGCUGGUACCCCGAACAUGCACUUCUCCAGGUUGAGCUUGAUCUGAAACCGACGCAAAUUCUCAAAGGUCUCCUUGAGGUCUUCCAGCAGGGUGCCUCGCUUCUCCGUCUUCACCACGACAUCGUCUACGUAGACGUGGGCAUUUCUGCCGAGUUGCUUGAGGAGGCAUUUUUGCAUGCAAUGCUAAAAGGUGGCACCGGCAUUUCUCAGGCCGAAUGUCAUGGUCAGGUAGCAGAAAGCUCCGAAUGGGGUGAUGAAGGCGGUCUUCAAGCGAUCAGCUGGGUCCAACUUUAUCUGGUGGUAGCCUGAAUAAGCAUCCAAAAAACUCAACAGCUCGCAUCCGGCUGUGGAGUCUAUCACUUGGUCAAUCCUUGGCAUGGCAAAUGGAUCUUUAGGGCAGGCUUUGUUGAGGUUGGUGUAGUCAAUACACAUGCGCCAUUGCUUGUUUUUCUUCAACACUAAGACUGGGUUGGCCAGCCAUUCGGGAAAGAACACUUCCAUAAUGAAUCCGGCUGCUAGGAGCCGGGCUAUCUCUUCACCGACAACUCUUCUCUUCUCUUCUGACAGGCGGCGCAAGGGCUGCCAGACCGGCUUGACGUUAGGUCGGACGUGUAGCUUGUGCUCGGCGAAAUCCGUCGGAACACCCGACAUGUCUUUGGGAGACCAUGCAAAGAUGUCCAGAUUCUCACGGAGGAAAUCGGCGAGCUCGCCUUCCUAUUUGUUGUCAAGGCCUGUGCCCAUGACAACGUACCUCCCCGGGUACUCCGGGUCUAGGGGUAUCUUCUUUGUCUCCUUGGCCGGCUGGAAAGAACCUUGAGCUUCACAUUCUUCGGGGUCAGGAGACAGGGCCGGCUGCUUGCCAGCCAAGGCCACAACUCAAUUCAGCAUCUUCUUUUCUUCGGUGAUCACGAGGGACUCGGCCAGCCGGCUGCUGGCUGCUGCACACUCAGAAGACUUCUUAUCGUCUCCGGCUAUGGUGAUAAUGCCCUUGGAACUCGGCAUCUUCAUCUUGAGGUAGGCAUAGUGGGGCACAGCCAUAAACUUGGCCAACGCUGGUCGGCCAAGCAAUGCGUGGUACCGGCUCUCCAAGUCCACUACCUCAAACCAUAUUGCCUCUCGGCGGAAAUGAUCUUUGUCCCCAAAGAGGACAUCCAUCUUGAUCUUGCCUAUUGGUGUGAGCAGGACAUGCCGGGUACGAUGCCAUGGAACACAGUCCGGCUUGGCAUGAGUUGCUUUGGCUUGAUGUUGAGCUUCUCCAUUGUAUCUCGGUACAGUAUGCUGAUACUGCUCCCGCCAUCUAUCAGCACGCGGGAAAAACGGGCAGCACGCCUUUCUGUCGCCAGGGUGGCAUCCAAAACCAAGGCAUAGGAGCCAGGAGACGGCAUCACCUCUGGGUGGUCAUCCCGGCUCCAGCUGAUGGGCUUCUCUGACCAGUGCAUAAACUCGGGGUUACUGGAGGCGACCGCAUUGACUUCUUGCUGCUGUCGGCGCCGGGUGCGCCGAUCUUCUGUCUGGCUAGUGAACACGAUGUAGGCGGCUUGCUCAUUGGGGAACUCGUCUUGGAUGGCUCCGACUGCUGGUCGGGCGGCCGGCUGCUGCGGCGCAGGAGGCGGCUGGCCUGCAGGCGGAGGCGGCAACAGCCCCUCGCCCUUGGAGAUUUUGGUGAGCCAAUGGCACUUCCGAGUUGUGUGGUUGGACGGCUUCGUGCCGCUGUGGAACUUGCAGGGGGCGUCGAGAGUUUGCUCAUAGGAGAAAGCCGGCUGCCAAGCCGGCCUGCCGCCCUUCUGCUUUUUGGGAGCCGACCGUCCUUCAGGCUGCUCUUCUUCGACCGUAGCCACCUGCCGGCUGGUGGAAGGCAGCAUAGGGGCCUUGCGUUUGUGGUCGCUUUGAUACGGGCGCCGUCUUGAUUCUCCAGCCAUUGUCUUGGGAGCCGGUGCCAGCACUUUUCCAGAGGCGUCUACCCGGAGCUCAGUCUUCAUUGAAGAGUCGGCCGUGGCAUACUUGUCCACGAUGAUCAGCAACUCGUGGAGGGUAGCCGGCUCGUCGCAGAGGAGUUGGUGCUUGAGGAGGGUGCCCUCUCUGCACCCGGCAGUGAAGUACUCUAUGGCCUGAACCUCGUGCACCCCUUCGCAGGAGUUGCGGAGCUCGGCCCAACGCGUGAGGUAGUCACAGGUUGAUUCAUUGGGCCCUUGUAUGCACAAGAAGAGCUGUCGGGGCUUGGGAGCCCGUUUGUAGGUGCUGGUGAAGUUGCAUAUGAAGGCUUCGGUGAAGUCCAGCUAGCUGUUGAUGCUGUAAGGCUUGAGGCUGUUGAGCCAGGUGCGCGCCGUGCCUUGGAGCAUCAGGGGGACAUAUUUCAUGGCAACGCGUCUGUUGCCGUUUCCUAUGCGAACUGCGGUGGAGUAGUCGAUCAACCAAUCUUACGGCUUCACGGAGCCGUUGUAUUUGGGCGUGUCUCUUGGGAGCGAGAACCCUUUGGGAAAGGGCUCGUCGCGGAUGCGGGGGCCGAAGCAAGAUGGGCCGACAUCAUCUUCUUCUUCCAGGGCCAGGGAUCGUGCGAGGCGUUCUAUCCGGUGGCGGGCAUCAUUCUCGCCGACUCCUUCGCGGCGACCAAGUCGGCCGCUGAGAGUCGGAUGCUCGACAGGCGGCGGGGUGUGAUACCUUUCCCCGCGAGGUGGAGGAGGAGGCGGGUCGCCUCGUUGUUCCACACCUCGGGGACGGCCUUCAGCGUCGCGCUCGAUGGUGAUUCGAGUCCGGCUGCGGCUAGCAGCCGGCUCCUUCUCUUGUCUUGUGCGGGCGCCACCCGCAGUCGGCGUACGAGACGUCGCGCCGNNNNNNNNNNNNNNNNNNNNNNNNNNNNNNNNNNNNNNNNNNNNNNNNNNNNNNNNNNNNNNNNNNNNNNNNNNNNNNNNNNNNNNNNNNNNNNNNNNNNNNNNNNNNNNNNNNNNNNNNNNNNNNNNNNNNNNNNNNNNNNNNNNNNNNNNNNNNNNNNNNNNNNNNNNNNNNNNNNNNNNNNNNNNNNNNNNNNNNNNNNNNNNNNNNNNNNNNNNNNNNNNNNNNNNNNNNNNNNNNNNNNNNNNNNNNNNNNNNNNNNNNNNNNNNNNNGCCACUCUGCGGCUGCAUCGAUCAGCUGUUGGAUGCGUCUGGUCAUGUAGGGGAGCUCGUCGGCCCCCAGUCCAUUUAGCUCAUCUACGAUCGACUGGGCGGCGCAUAGAUUCUCGAGGGGAGUGGCGUAGACAGGGCGGUCCGCUCCCAGCAUGCUGGCGAUGGCCGCGCCGCGCUUCUUGACGACGCCGACUCGGCUUGGCCCUUCUGGAGGCGGCGUGCCGAAGGCAGCGCGGUCGACUUCGUGCUGGUGGGCUUCCGUGAGACAUCUCAUGGAGGCAAUCCUCUGGCCCUCCGCAAGGAGGGCAAGGCGGCGUGCCUCCAGCGUCUCGGCGUCAGCGUCCGCCAGGAUGGGGGCGGACAGAUCGUGCAGCGUAGCCUGUAGGGCGUCGCGGGCGUUCUCGACGGAGGUGACGCCGUGGCUGAUGACCAGCACUUCGGUGACGGUGCUGCCGCCACUGUCGGCUCGAGGAAGAGGGUCGUCGACGAUGAUCACGUUGGUGGGAAAGGCAUCGAGCGAUGCCGUGUCGGAGUCGACAAGCAUCGGGUCGGUGGAGCCGACCGACUCCAAGUCCGCGGUAGGCUCGCCGGAGACGUGGAGUUGGUCGAGGAGGAUGACGAGGCGGUUCUCGGGGCAGCUUGUGCCCGCGUCGGACGCGGGCUCGUCGGAGAUGCGAGUCUCACCAAGAAGUUCGGCGAGGCAGCUCGCCGCGCAGGCGUCGUCGACGCUUUGCAGCGCGUCGGGGCAAGCGCCAUCGGGCGUGCCGGGCUUGCUACGCUCACUGGGGAGGAAAAGGGUUCCCGUUCAGAGCAGGUCUCCGGACGACGGUGCACCUAGCCCCACGGUGGGCGCCAAAUGUCGGGUGGUAGGUGCGACAUAUGCCAACGGAUGGCUUAUCAUUGUGGGAGCCAGUAAGACAUUGUCGGUGCCUGGAAACGGGAUAAGGCGAAGACAUGCACGCCGGCGGAUCUUACCCAGGUUGGGGGCUCUCCUUGGAGAUAAUACCCCUACUCCUGCUUUGCGGGGUCUCCGCAUGAUCACUAGAUCGAUAAGACGCUACAAGAGGCUCCUUGAGAUGUUCGGUGGGAGGAGGAAGAAGGGCAAGGCUAGCUCUCUCCUCUCCUUAUGGUGGUGUCUAGAACUCUAUGAGAUCAACCCUUUGCAUGGGUGUCCCGGGGGGUUUAUAUAGGCCUACCCCCCGGGGGUACAAUGGUAAUCCGGUUGGUCGUGGGUCCAGGCCAUCAGCGUCUGCAUCCACCGGCUUCUUCGCCGGCUACUGGGGCCCGCCGACUGGUGGAUCCCGCCAGCUGCCGGCCCAUUGGUCGAUAGGCCGGCCCCACCGCUUGGGGGGGUCUUGUCGGGGCGGGUUACUGUUGCCUCGCCUCUGAUGACGAGGGCUUUGUCGAGGUAAGCAUGGCUAUAGUGCCGCCGCCUUGUGGGCUCUCACUGUAGCCUUACCUCGUCUUGUCCGCUUAAUGGUGCGCGCGCCCCGAGGAGGGGAGCAAGCCGGCUAUAGGAAGCCGGCCCGGCCUCAGGCCGGUUGGGGGAGGUCAGGCCGCCUUCGGAUGUCUCUCUGCCCGAAGGGGCCCGCCGCCUGCGGGCUGUACUGGCGACCCGUCGUGGAUGGCGUCAUAGUCCGCAUGGCAACAGUGCCUCGCCGGACAGGAGAUGAUCGCCCUGUACGGCGUACUGUAGCAAUGCGUGUUCCGGGAUUCGGGGGUGACAGGGGCCACUUUAGCCACGCCCUGUCCCGUCACCGUUAUGGAGGGUGGACUUUUAGGGCGCGGCCCACGGCCGUCUGCCAGGGGCCGGCUUCUUGGAGUCGGUCCUUCAGGGGCCGGCUUCUUGGAGUCGGUCCUUCAGGGUCUGGCUUCUUGGAGUCGGCCCUAUCGGGGCGUCCUCCAAAGGCUCUUUAUGGCCGGGCCGCCUUCCGCCAGCCGGCCCAUGUGAUAGCCGGCCGGAAGAAGGCGGCCCCGUGUCCUGGUUGCUUCAGGGCUCGGUCGGCCCAUUGUUUUUUCUGAGGGCCAAAGGGAGCCGGUAAGGCUAUCCGUGGUCAUUUACUCCGACACCUAUUUUUCUCCAAAGACUUAUUAUGUCAAUUUACAUUCCGUACUUACUUUGAAGGCGGCCGAGCAAACACGGACCCCCAUGAGUUAUAUUGGGUUGGCCAUGUAGGACGGUCCUUGAGGUUUGGUCUUUUUUGUCUACCUUUUAUUCCAUGUUUUACUUACCUGUUUAUUUUAUAUUAUUUUAUUUUUAUUUUACAAAAUUCAUGAAUGUUUUUCAGUUUUGGGAACAUAAUUAAUUGUGAACAUAUUUUAAAAAUCCAUGAUUUUUUAAUUUUGAAAACAUUUUAAAAAAUAUGUGAACAUUUUUUAAAAUUUGUGACUAUUAUUAAAAAUCAUGAACAAUUAUAAAACUCGUGAACAUUUUUUUGAAAUUCGGGAAUAUUUUUUCAUAAUGAUGAAGAAUUUUUAAAUUUAUGAACAUUAUUUAAAUUCAAGAGUGUUUUUAAAAUUGUGGAUAUUUUUGGAAAUUCACAAAAAAUACAUUAAUAUUUUUUUUUUGAAAAAUGCUUUAAUGGGACGUGGGUUCCGAUACUGUCAUGCGGGACUGAUGACCCUACGAGACCCUUACAUGUAGGGUCCACUUCGAGGAAAUUUUUUUGGAGCUCUCCUAUGCCUCUACUGCUAGGGAGCUUAACUGUAAGGAUUACCCGGGGCACGUGGACGAGAGCAAAGCUACGAGGCGCCGUACGCUAAAAGCAUGUAUGGGCACGUCUGUUGUGGUCGUUUCCAAGAAAGAUUUCAGGUUUAUACUUCAUUUAAGUGUCCUCCGUACGCUGAGAAAGUUCACAAGUUUAUUUCAUUUCACUGUCCUUUGUGUACAGAGAAAGGUUACAACUCACAAGUGAGCCUUGGGAAAAAUUGACACACAACCGAAUAAAGUCUAAGCAGCAAGCACCUUUUACACACAGGAGAUCGAGGCUCCUAGCAUGGAGAAAAUCCAGAUUAGUGCUUUUGUAAUAUCACAUUUUACAAGACCCCAUGUCCUACAAAUCCUAUCACGCUACCUACUUUUAUUGCCUUCUCUGCAUGCAUCACCCCAACCCACGAAACAAGAACGACCUGUGAGUACGUGUUAGCACUUAGCAGACAGUUAGUCACAGCGAGG